ensembl:lncRNA
GUGCAAUACCUUGAACAUGGCCUUGGGAAACCUCAUUGGAUUCACAUGCGCCCAUCUUUCAAGCUCGUUCAGCCACCGAUGGACAGCAUCCCUUCCUUUUGUUGUCCUAACUGCACCAGCUUGGUGUCGACUGCAAGCCUGCUGAGGGUGCACUGAACCCCCUCGUCUACGUCACUGAUAAUGAUGUCAAAGAGUAAGGUCUAAAGACAGACUCCCGGGGGACACCACUCAUUGCCGGCUUUCACUUGGACGUAGUCCUCCUGCUGCAAGCUGUUGCAGACAGUCACCAGCAGCGAAACCCAUGGGGAUGAGCAAAGAAGGCCAGAAGCAUGAUGGUUUCAUGGCAAGAAAGAAGAGAAGGCAACAGACUGCUUGCUUCCUGGCCUGGGAACGUGAGGUGUGUGCUUCUCAGAGGAUGACACCAGGGCCUGAGGAGGACAGAUGCUAGCAGGGACAACGAUCUGCUUCAGAAGAGAACGCCUUUAAAAGACAGGAGAUUUUCAUCCUGCAGGGAUGUUCUGCAUAAAACAAAGAUGUCUCAGUCCUUCACAGAUCCCCUAGUGCUACCCGAAACAGAGAAUUCCUAGUAUUAAACACAUAUUAUUUUUAUCCUUUGCUGGUUAUCGUGACCAAGCACACUGCUAGGAACUUCAGCUCUGACUGGGUUCCAUCACGUAUACUUUUUCUUAUGCAUUACUGUAGACAACAAUUCUGUUCAUUAUUUGGGAUUGUCCGAGAGCCAAAGGCCUUACGCUAAUACUGAAGCCUUGCGUGCAGUCGGGCGCAGCAGUAGCGAGCCGAUCCGACAGGGAACACGGCGAGACGAGAAGAGGGACAAGUCACAUGACCUGCGCCCUUAUAUCUGUUCCCUUGAGCGGGAAUGAUAACAGUACUCGAAAAGGCUCUUGGGGAAUGUAGUUCUUCUUCUCUUCCAGACAGGUACCCGGAACUAAAGCAUUUGCUCCUUAGCUCCCAGUACACUGCAUGAUGUUGUGAUGUGGAAUACAGAUAACCAAAAAUCAUAAAACCAUGACAUUCCACCCCUUAUUCUACAUCAUUACAGCAUGCUUAAUAUAUACAAACAGACAUAAUUAUAAUCAAUUAUCCAACACUGAACACAUGUACAUAUACUUGGAAUUACUGAUUCCGCUCUCCCAUCAUCAAAUUCCCUUGUGGCACACAAUGAACAUCCCCAUUUUUCUGCAUCACCAAACAAGUGCACCCAGGUCCCUGGGCAAAAACAGUUCCGCGAAGAGGUUUGCCCUUCCCACAAGGUGGAAGGACCCAAACUGCUUUUCCCAGCAUGUUCUUUACAUGUAUUACAGGGACCUUAUCUCCCUUUACAGUAUGUAGGGAGCUGGCAGGACCAUCACGAUUGAUAGAUCCUCGAGUAUUCACCAACCAGGUGGCUUCGGCCAAAUGCUUCUCCCAGUGCUUAAAUGUUCCGCCACCCAUUGCUUUCAACAUGGUUUUUAACAACCCGUUGUAUCGUUCAAUUUUACCAGAAGCUGGUGCGUGAUAGGGGAUAUGAUAAAUCCACUCAAUGCCAUGAUCUUUGGCCCAAGUAUUUACAAGGGAAUUUUUGCAAUGAGUCCCAUUAUCUGAUUCGACUCUCUCUGGGGUACCAUGUCACCAGAGAACUUGUUCCUCGAGGCCUAAUAUGGUGUUUCGGGCGGUAGCAUGGGGUACUGCAUAUGUUUCAAGCCACCCAGUGGUCGCUUCCACCAUGGUAAGCACAUAACGCUUACCACUGCGAGAUCUUGGCAGGGUGAUAUGGGGAACGUAGUUCUUCUUCUCUUCCAGACAGGUACCUGGAACUAAAGCAUUUGCUCCUUAGUUCAUAGAAGAUGGAUUAUUGUGGAGAAAGUGAUCGUGCAAUUUUUAUUCUCCCAGAUAUCAGCAUUAGAAAGAAAAAUCACUGAAUAAUGGAGGGUGAUGGAGGCCCAGGCUGGUGUCCAAAUACACACAGCCGUGGACUGUGAGGUCACUGACCAGGGAGUUGUGACAUCAGUGAGAGAUGACUGUGGCCUCGGUGACCAUAGCAUACAAAUUCCAGUGCUGGCCGAGACCAGCAUCCACUCGUUCCUGGACUCCAGUUGAGCGUGUCUGCGAGACUUGGAUCACGAAACGAGGCUUUGGUUGGGUUGUGCUGUGGGACUGCUGGCAGCAGUUAUUGGUGCCUAUCCCACAGCAUCACCAGCAUUUCCCCAGCCCUGCCGGGCUCAGGCAGCUGGGGCCCCACGGGGUGCGCUCACAGCAGCAGAGGUGAGACGAUACAGCUCCAGGAUGGCCAGUGGGGGGCAGGGGUUGGGGAGGUUUGCUGUUGAGGGACUGGGGCAUCACUGCUGUCUGCCCUGGAAACAGAAAGCGACCAUAGCCUCUCUCUCUCUCUCUCGUGCAGUUUGUGACACCUUCUGCCCGCUGCAGCGCCAGUGAGGGGAGCAGCUUCCUGUCCUCAGCUCUCCCAGCCCAUCGCACAGCCAGCGGCCAUGGAGAUGCCAUUAGACUGGACCUGUCCGAUCUGCCAGAAGCAUGAUGGUUUCAUGGCAAGAAAGAAGAGAAGGCAACAGACUGCUUGCUUCCUGGCCUGGGAACGUGAGGUGUGUGCUUCUCAGAGGAUGACACCAGGGCCUGAGGAGGACAGAUGCUAGCAGGGACAACGAUCUGCUUCAGAAGAGAACGCCUUUAAAAGACAGGAGAUUUUCAUCCUGCAGGGAUGUUCUGCAUAAAACAAAGAUGUCUCAGUCCUUCACAGAUCCCCUAGUGCUACCCGAAACAGAGAAUUCCUAGUAUUAAACACAUAUUAUUUUUAUCCUUUGCUGGUUAUCGUGACCAAGCACACUGCUAGGAACUUCAGCUCUGACUGGGUUCCAUCACGUAUACUUUUUCUUAUGCAUUACUGUAGACAACAAUUCUGUUCAUUAUUUGGGAUUGUCCGAGAGCCAAAGGCCUUACGCUAAUACUGAAGCCUUGCGUGCAGUCGGGCGCAGCAGUAGCGAGCCGAUCCGACAGGGAACACGGCGAGACGAGAAGAGGGACAAGUCACAUGACCUGCGCCCUUAUAUCUGUUCCCUUGAGCGGGAAUGAUAACAGUACUCGAAAAGGCUCUUGGGGAAUGUAGUUCUUCUUCUCUUCCAGACAGGUACCCGGAACUAAAGCAUUUGCUCCUUAGCUCCCAGUACACUGCAUGAUGUUGUGAUGUGGAAUACAGAUAACCAAAAAUCAUAAAACCAUGACAUUCCACCCCUUAUUCUACAUCAUUACAGCAUGCUUAAUAUAUACAAACAGACAUAAUUAUAAUCAAUUAUCUAACACUGAACACAUGUACAUAUACUUGGAAUUACUGAUUCCGCUCUCCCAUCAUCAAAUUCCCUUGUGGCACACAAUGAACAUCCCCAUUUUUCUGCAUCACCAAACAAGUGCACCCAGGUCCCUGGGCAAAAACAGUUCCGCGAAGAGGUUUGCCCUUCCCACAAGGUGGAAGGACCCAAACUGCUUUUCCCAGCAUGUUCUUUACAUGUAUUACAGGGACCUUAUCUCCCUUUACAGUAUGUAGGGAGCUGGCAGGACCAUCACGAUUGAUAGAUCCUCGAGUAUUCACCAACCAGGUGGCUUCGGCCAAAUGCUUCUCCCAGUGCUUAAAUGUUCCGCCACCCAUUGCUUUCAACAUGGUUUUUAACAACCCGUUGUAUCGUUCAAUUUUACCAGAAGCUGGUGCGUGAUAGGGGAUAUGAUAAAUCCACUCAAUGCCAUGAUCUUUGGCCCAAGUAUUUACAAGGGAAUUUUUGCAAUGAGUCCCAUUAUCUGAUUCGACUCUCUCUGGGGUACCAUGUCACCAGAGAACUUGUUCCUCGAGGCCUAAUAUGGUGUUUCGGGCGGUAGCAUGGGGUACUGCAUAUGUUUCAAGCCACCCAGUGGUCGCUUCCACCAUGGUAAGCACAUAACGCUUACCACUGCGAGAUCUUGGCAGGGUGAUAUGGGGAACGUAGUUCUUCUUCUCUUCCAGACAGGUACCUGGAACUAAAGCAUUUGCUCCUUAGUUCAUAGAAGAUGGAUUAUUGUGGAGAAAGUGAUCGUGCAAUUUUUAUUCUCCCAGAUAUCAGCAUUAGAAAGAAAAAUCACUGAAUAAUGGAGGGUGAUGGAGGCCCAGGCUGGUGUCCAAAUACACACAGCCGUGGACUGUGAGGUCACUGACCAGGGAGUUGUGACAUCAGUGAGAGAUGACUGUGGCCUCGGUGACCAUAGCAUACAAAUUCCAGUGCUGGCCGAGACCAGCAUCCACUCGUUCCUGGACUCCAGUUGAGCGUGUCUGCGAGACUUGGAUCACGAAACGAGGCUUUGGUUGGGUUGUGCUGUGGGACUGCUGGCAGCAGUUAUUGGUGCCUAUCCCACAGCAUCACCAGCAUUUCCCCAGCCCUGCCGGGCUCAGGCAGCUGGGGC